CCAGCCUGCUGAAUAGAGCGGCGAACAGGCAAGCCCACCAGGUCACGUGCUCACGGGGCCCACAAUACAACCGUCUCUGUCUCUGUCUCUUCUCGGUGCCCACGGAUGUGGCCCACGGAAUGAAAUCAGCAGGCCCGAUGGCAGGCAGGGUGUUCUGGAGGCUGAGGCAGGAGGAUCAACAGUUCAACACUCGCCUGGGCUAUAGAAUGAGUCCAAGGUCAGCCUGAGCAAGUCAGCAAGACUGUGACUCAAAAGCAGCAAGCGAGCAAAGACAACAAAAAAGGAGGUCCCUGUUCUGGGGAAACAGAGUGGAGGGGCAGGCUUGGCUCAGCUUCCUUCAUGGGUAAUUCCUCAAGGAUUGUGAGAUGGAGAAACUGAGGCAGAAUGAGGACUCCUGAGCAAAGGUGAGUGCCCUUCCAUGAGCAUGUUCCAGGGAAUGUAAAACUGGUGCUUGAACAGAGAAACCCAGGACUCAUUCCCUGCCCUAGUAAUUAAAGAGUAAUUUGGAGUGGAGGAUAAAACCCUGGCUGGUGGUUACUUGUAAUAAAGCCUAGUCUGGUUGUAAAUUCAUGCCAACCCUUCUGCCUCAGUCUUCCGGGUGAUUACAGGCAUGCACCAUUUUGCCUGGCUUUUAAAGUCAGUAUUACCACUCACAACCUUCCCUAGUGGUAUCUUACGCUUAGGGAGCAUUCCAUUCUCUCUCUCUCUCUCUCUCUCUCUCUCUCUCUCUCUCUCUCUCUCCCUCUCCC